AACGGCCAUACCAUGCUGAAUAUACCGGUUCUCGUUAGAUCACCGAAGUCAAGCAUCAUUGGGCACGGUCGGUACUUGGGUGGGUGACCACCUGGGAACACCGCGUACCGUU
rnacentral:rRNA from 1 species